rnacentral:tRNA from 1 species
CCCCUAGUGGCUCAGAUGGUAGAGCGUCUGCCUACAAUGCAGAAGACCCGGGUUCAAUCCCUAGGUAGGGAA